rnacentral:lncRNA from 1 species
CCAUCCUUUGUCAAACAAAAUACAUAAUAUUUAUUCACCCUUCCUUCUCUAUCUCAUCAUAAGUUUAUUUUUGGAUUGGAGAUAUUUUGAGUUUUCAAACCACCACCUUCAUUGUUAGAUCUAGACCACCACAAAACGUUUUUCGAUAAAUUACCACAAUAAAAGUACUCUCCUUCGUAUUCCCUACAAAACCCACAAAAAAUUAUGCUUGGAUGACAUUUUUCCGACGACCACCACACCGGAAAACAUCACCACCGCGCCGGAAUUUAAAUCU